CCAGUGUCCAGGCUUCAGGCACUUGACUGCCCGGCCAAGACUGCUGUUGUAGUGGCUGCAAAGAGAGAAGAUGAUCAACAGGGCAACAUGGUGACUUGAAGAACAGGCACUGGACCACACAGAAGCUGUGGGACUGACAGCAAAAUUAUAGAGGCUGGCAGUGAACAAGCUCUUGGCUGGUUAAGGUCCCGACUGAAGUCAUCUGAGCUCCUCUUAGGAGUUCCUCAGCUAUCAUUGACCUGUGGACACCAGCAAAUAGAGCUCUGCUCCGUCCAGAGCUGUCAUACUGUGCCAGGAUGUUAAUAGCCAUGGCUGAAAACAGCAUCCAGUGUUGACAGAACAAGCUCUGCCAGGACACGUCUCCAUUGCAGAUUUUAAUUCUUCUCAUGGUCCUAACCUUGUCUUAGCUGAAACCCUGCUACAUGCUGAGUUUUUUGGAAUGGAUGUGAGAGCCAAAGCUCAGGUUUUUUUCCUCUGAUCUCUCCUUCUCCCCAUUUCCAAGUGCCCUAAGCAGGACCACUCAAAAUCACAGAAUAUUCUGGUUUGGAAGAAACCCACAGGACCAUCCAAAUUGAGCUCCAGGCUCUGCACAGGACAGCCUCAAGGAUCACAUCAUGUGCCUCUUAGCAAGCUCUAAUGUGCAUAUGGAGAGAUGAUGUGAAAGAAAGAUGCUGAUGACCAUGACAUCUGAAAUUAUUUUAUGGCUUCAGUAGACCACAAGUAUCAUCAAAGUUUGCACUGACCUUGCUCUAUUCAGUGCUCUAGCCUGAGCAUACCUCUUGCCUGAGCAGGUUCAGAUGUUGCAUCAGUGCCCUCUAGUAGCACACAGAACUCAUUUUACACCAGCUAAUUGGGUCUAACUACCCUCUUGGCAGAUGAGUGAGUACCAGCCCCACUUUACACCUAGGAAGAGUGGGAGGGGAAAGUGGCUUGACCCAAGUUUAAUUGGCAACCAGUGUGAGCCAUGUCAAAUACCCUGUUUGCCUGCACCCGAGUCCUGUGCAUGCAGAAAUGGUCAAGUUCCUUGGAGAGGAGUGAAGCCUUAGGCUAGCAUUCUGUGUUAGAUAUUAUAUUGCAUGUUGGGUGCCAGGUAAUGUGUUGAGAAAUGCACGAGGGGAGUGGGCUCAGGGGCACAAGCUGCAUUGCCAAGGAGAAUAACAGUGCUAGGGACAUGGUAGUCAGGCAACAGGCUCCACUGGCCUGCUGAGCACUGGCAGGAGGACAGCCUGGGUAGUCUGAUGGCAAAAGGGAUGCUGGCCUCAUUUCAACUGCUCAGUCUGGCUGCAUCAGUACCCUGGUUGGUAUUUCCUUCCUUCUCCUCUCAAGAAAAGACAAGAUAAUUUGAAGCAAAAAGCCAAGACUUUGCCCUCUGGAGGGAUUCCAGGGCUGCAGAUGGACCAGGCUGUUCGCAGGGCUGCUGGAAAGCAAUUACAUUUGCAGUUCAGGGGAAGGGAAGAGGAGGAGGGAGAGUCACUGAACUGACAGCAGGGAUAAGAAGGUAGCUCAUUAGCACAUCAUCUUUUCUGCACCCUUCUGUGUGGGAGCAGAUCUCCAUAUGAUGACAUUCAGAGUCUGGCAGGAAUGUCAUACUGGAACUAGUAGAAAUUUUUCUGCAAGAAAGUGUGAGCAAGUAGGUUUAAAAGAUCAAAAGUGAGUUCCUCUGUGGUCCAAAGAGCAUAAAGGUUCAUCUUUCAAUGUUGUCCUCAAACUUCACCACCAACUGCUGAUCUGGAAUAUGAAGACAAAGUGUGGAAGUAAUGAGGUAUUCAUUAAAACGAAAAAUACAAAAAACCCACAAACAAACCAACACCCCCCCCCAUCCAAAACAAAAACCUCAAAACUCAGAAAAACCCCAAACCAUCCAAUCAAAACAUCCUCUAUGGUGGAUGAGUUUUUAACUGAACAUUAGAAUUAGAAAGGUAUUCAUACACUGAGGAGGUACUUGAGCUUGGAGAAUUCCAGCAGAAGCCAUGCAAAAACCCUUCUCUUUAUGGCAUUCAAAACAAUUUGGAGAGCAAGUCCUGUGUCAGUGACAGUGGCUGUUGGAAACCCCAUAGUACAGUAAUAAAGAUAUAAUACACUUAAUUAUGACCUAAAGGGUGAAGUCCUUAUGGACUCAUUCAAAAGACUCAUGUGACUGCUUAACAACACUCCCAUCCCCUGAGCAGCAGUCUGCAUGGUCCCAGAGGAAAAGAUCAGAAAAAGCACACCUGUUCCCUAAAGGAAAGUUGAGAAUGGGAAAUGUGUGUGUCUCACAUCAGGCAAGCAAGAAGUCUGUGCACUGAGUCCUCAGUGGCAGAGCUGCUCUCCUUUUUAUGAAGAUUUCUGUUUGCAUGUGAAUCUGUUGGUGUAUGGAUUUUGAGUCCUUCUGUUGAGACACGGAUGAAGGGGCGAAGAAUGAGCUCAUGCCGAAAGCUUUUGAAGCCAGUGAAGCACCAGAUAAAGACCAACCCUUCUUAUUUUCUCUGAGUUCUUCCGUCCCCCCAGUAUAAAUCUCGCCCAGCUGAGCGGCGGAGCAGGGGCGCCCGCAGGACCCACAGCGCCGUGCUGCGGUAACGCCUCCCUGCGGGCCGGCAGCCGGCUCCAGCAGCGCGGGUUUGCGGCCGAAGGGAAUCCAAUCCCUUCAGCGGUGCCUCCUCAGGGAUCUCUUCCUGUCAGUGCGGCAGCUCUGCCAUUUGCCUGGGCACAUCCCACACGGUGCUGAGUGACAGCAGGGCGGAGGGCAGGACUGCAGAGAGGUGUUUGUCAGUAAUGGUAACUCUUGCCUCCACGGACAGAGGAUCUCCAAGCACUGUACAAACCUGCUGUAACCUACAGUGGAUAAACAACGCCUGAUGGAGAACAUGGUGGGUAGAGAAAUGGGGGGUUCUGCAGAGGAAGCUGCAGAGACUGUACAGUAGGAGCUGGGAGAGAAGAGAGGGAAUGGAUCCCUAACCCUGAAUCCCUCUCAUCCUGAUUUACACAAAUGUAACUGCUGGAGUCAAUGCAAUUACAUUAGUAGGAAAGCUGGAUGAGAAAUAAAAAAAAAUUAGCUCCAUCUCACUUCAUCAUGUUCUUUGUGCUACUAGCAAAGCUUUCUUCACACUCCAGAACCCACUCCAUCCAGCUUACAGGAAAUUACAUGCUGCAACUGUUCAGCAAUGCUUUUAAUAUAAAACUAAAGCAGAGGACAAAAGGAGAACACAAGAUGUGUGCAUAACAUACUGCUCAGGUUAAUGCAAAGGCAUUUUGAACCUGAUAAUCAUUCAGCUCUGCAAAAUUACAGCUGAGGCUGCUCAGCACCCUGAAGGCAGACGUGUGCCUGCAUGAAGAGGGUUCUCUUUCAUUUGGCAAUUGCAGCCCUGUGCAUAAGCUGCCACAAGACACAGGGGGACAGCUGGACUAACAGUGUUAAAACAGAGUGGUGGUUGUGGAAGUGAACAGCUGCACCUAGAAAGAUACAGAGAAUGGCAUCCACCCUCCUGGGAAAUGGCUGAUCUCUGCAGGUCUGGGGUGGUGUCUUCUCCUGAGGUAUCUGUCCUGUGUGGCUGCCUAGCAGUGCCUUGAAUGCCUCUGCCUCUCUAGAACGUGAGUCAAAAAGGCUGGAGAGCUGCAGUUAGUUACUCAGGAAGGAGGGAACAGGCUCUGGAGCAAUGAAACAAUAGUGAAAGAGAAGCAGAGGUAGACAGUGAGAAAUCCUUUCCAAAGUAAAUGUACACAGUACAGCUAUUUGCUAUGACAUUUUGACACCUUUUCAGAGGAUCUCAGAAUGUUUGGGUUGGAAGGGACCCUAAAGACCUUCUAGUUCCAACUGUCCUGCUGUGGACAAGGACACUUUCCACUAGACCAUGUUGCCCAAAGCCCCAUCCAGUCUGGCCCAGAACACUUCCAGAGAUGGGGCAUCCAUUUUUGGCCAGGCUCUGCAACUGCCUACUGCAGAGUUCACUCUCUUUCUCUGCCUAUCACAUCUCCCAUCAGGUAAUGUUAGCCAAUUCUGGCGUAGGCUUACAAAAACCCCUUAAACUGUGCCAGCUGCCCUUUCACUGGUAUAAUUCCAGCAUGUGUGUGAGCCUGAGAAAAGGAAAACUGAAGCUAACUAACCACACCCAAAACAUCAGUACUGCAGAAGUGACUAACAGGGCUGGACCCUGAGGGGCUCUGGUGGCAUCUUUAGCCACGCCUAAAGAAGCACAUGGUCUGCCCUCCCACGUCCUCCAGGCUGCCGUGGGGGUCAGGCUUUCUGAGCCUGCAGUCCCACUGGUGGGAGCGCUGCCUCUCCUGCAAACCUCUGGAAGCCCCAUACUCCAUGGCCUCUCUCCCCGUUUGCCUUAGAGGCACCGAUUAGACAGCUGUAAAUGAGCCUCUGACAACAAACACAGUGCUGCAUGUACAGGCUGCUGUUUGCACAUCUGGAGCUGAUUCCUGCCCCCCAAGGGCUCCAGUGCUGUGCCAAGGACCCUACUGCUGCUGAAGCAGGUGUUCAGGUGUCCCUAAAGCAAAGGGGCAACUGAGAAAAGCAGAAAGCUUUUCUGUACCUUCAAAGCACCAACUGCAGGGUGACUGUGCUGCAGCCUUCUGGAUCAGCUAUUUUCAGCCAGUUUUGUGAUAAUGGGCUGGGGAGAGAUGCAAUUUGCUGCCUCCCACACAGUGUUAGCUGUCUUUUGUCACUGAGGAGCUCCUCCUGGUGCUACAGCUGCAGCCCACCAAUCCAGCUCAUGGCCAGGGAGCACACCAGAGGAGGGUCCUGGGGUGGGAAUCUGCUACUGAGGGGGAAUGAUGCUGUUUGUUUUCUACCUGUGCCUGCUGCUCUGCAGUAAUGCUCCCCAUUUAGAGCUGCAGACUGAAGCUGAAACAUGAGCAGUGACUUUCAGAGAGAUGCCCUUCCUGGCACUGCACACUGGCACUGAAUUAAUGUGAGCUACCUGAUGUGCUGCAUCAUGUGCCACGCAGAAAUCAGUCACUGAAGGCCAGGGUAUAAAACUUCCCUGAUCCCUGUGGGCUUUUGAAAGGGUAGAGUUUGGUUUGUCUCCUAUAGCUUAGAGAGGCUGUUAACAUUGAGUCUCAUUGAAAAUGCCUGAGUUGCCUCCCUUGGCUGCUGGGGAAGGUUCUGAUACCUUGUCUGUACUGUAAUGUGGGUUUGGGUGCCACACACCCUCCUCCCGUGACUCCAGCCUGACCCUUGGAGGCAGUGUUUUGCAGUGCCUCAGUGCACUUUCCAUGGUCACUUGUGACCUUGCAACUGGGGUUCCAGACCUGUGCAAAACCUUUUAACUAUGUUAAAAACCCCUUUUUUGCCAGACAUCUGCAAACUGUGACCAUUGAUGAUGCACCUGUACUCCCAAUAUUAGUAAGGGAUCCCUGCAGCCACAAAUCAUGCAAUAUUUACCCUCUGUUAGCCCCACUUUUCUAUUCCCCACUAACCACAGUGCACGGGGACAGAGCUUGGUGUGCCUUCAGUUCCAAGAGACGCACAGUUCUGCUCAGUUAAGGUGCCUUGUGACAGGGAGAUGUAGUCUGCCGCCUACCCUGCGCAGCUGCGGGCUCAGGCUGUGCCGACUCUACAGACCCCUGCUGGCGGCACAGGGCUGCUCAGGGACGCUGUACCGCCGGCUCCCGGGGGCUGCAGGGCCUGUCAGCUGCUGCAAACACACACUCCCUUUUCCUGCUGCUCUCCCCACUCUCUGGUACAGAUGAACAUGCUCAGCUUUCCCAAGACAAAAUCUGAGCGCAGCAGCUUGCGCAUGGUGAAGAGCUCCUUCCAUACCAGCACUCUCUCCACUCUCAGAUGCUGCCAGUCUGGAUUCACCUGGCAGGAUCCACUCCUCUCCAUCCUGUUUCCAGCACUGUGCCCCACAGUUACUCAUUGUGGGAGAGCCUAUUCUAAAUAUAAUGUACAAAAAGUGCCCUGCUACCACUGCCUGCUCAGAUUUCUCAUAAGAGCCCUCAAAUGGAAUGAUCAUAAAGCUUUAUACUGCAAGAGGACCACUCAUGGUACACUCUUAUUGCCAGGUGCUUUAGUAAGAAAACACCUGGUACAAACACGCAUAUUGUGUUCAUUCAGGGUCAGCUAGGGAAAUCAGCUUUUGUUUUUAUGUUAUAGAUCAGUUAUUGCCACUUCCAUGUCUUCACUCUUCAGUUUAGAAUUCCCAGGAUCUUUCCAGUGUUGCAUCUGUGAAGCACCUAAAUAUUAUGAAAGCUGCAGCAAAGGACAAGUCCUUCCUCAAAUACUUUACAGUUUAAACAGACUGAAGAGGCAAAAGAU